rnacentral:rRNA from 1 species
GUGGGGAAUCUUGCGCAAUGGGCGAAAGCCUGACGCAGCCAUGCCGCGUGAAUGAUGAAGGUCUUAGGAUUGUAAAAUUCUUUCACCGGGGACGAUAAUGACGGUACCCGGAGAAGAAGCUCCGGCUAACUUCGUGCCAGCAGCCGCGGUAAUACGAAGGGGGCUAGCGUUGCUCGGAAUUACUGGGCGUAAAGGGCGCGUAGGCGGACAGCUUAGUCAGAGGUGAAAGCCCAGGGCUCAACCUUGGAAUUGCCUUUGAUACUGGCUGUCUUGAGUUUGGGAGAGGUGAGUGGAACUCCGAGUGUAGAGGUGAAAUUCGUAGAUAUUCGGAAGAACACCAGUGGCGAAGGCGACUCACUGGCCCAAUACUGACGCCGAGGCGCGAAAGCGUGGGGAGCAAACAGGAUUAGAAACCCGUGUAGUCC